CUCCUGCCUGCACUUUGUGUCCAUGACCAACUCGGAGGCCCUGGCUGUGCACGGGGGUCGCAUCCUGCCCGGGGACGAGAUCGUGCAGGUCAAUGAGCAAGUGGUGGUGAGUUGGGGAUGGGGGCACACAGGGAUGUCGGUUUGGCCGGGAGGAACCCCAGUACAGCUGGAGCUGCAGGGUGCUUGCCUCUGGCUGGGAAGGAUUUUGGGAAUGCAGGAACUCAGAACAGGGAGGAUUUGGGGACCGGGAGGGCACACGGG
rnacentral:lncRNA from 1 species